GGGUGCGAUCAUACUAGCGUUAAUGCACCAUAUCCCAUCAGAACACUUCAGUUAAGCGCGCUUGGGCUAGAGUAGUACUGGGAUGGGUGACCUCCCAGGAAGUCCUGGUGUUGCACCCU
rnacentral:rRNA from 1 species